rnacentral:rRNA from 1 species
UGGGGAAUCUUCCGCAAUGGACGAAAGUCUGACGGAGCAACGCCGCGUGAGUGAUGACGGCCUUCGGGUUGUAAAGCUCUGUUAAUCGGGACGAAUGGUUCUUGUGCGAAUAGUGCAAGGAUUUGACGGUACCGGAAUAGAAAGCCACGGCUAACUACGUGCCAGCAGCCGCGGUAAUACGUAGGUGGCAAGCGUUGUCCGGAAUUAUUGGGCGUAAAGCGCGCGCAGGCGGAUUGGUCAGUCUGUCUUAAAAGUUCGGGGCUUAACCCCGUGAUGGGAUGGAAACGGCCAAUCUAGAGUAUCGGAGAGGAAAGUGGAAUUCCUAGUGUAGCGGUGAAAUGCGUAGAUAUUAGGAAGAACACCAGUGGCGAAGGCGACUUUCUGGACGAAAACUGACGCUGAGGCGCGAAAGCCAGGGGAGCGAACGGG